UAAGGAAUAUUGGUCAAUGGACGCAAGUCUGAGCCAGCCAUGCCGCGUGAAGGAUGAAGGUCCUCUGGAUUGUAAACUUCUUUUAUCUGGGACGAAAACGGGAUUUUUAUCUCAAUUGACGGUACCAGAGGAAUAAGCACCGGCUAACUCCGUGCCAGCAGCCGCGGUAAUACGGAGGGUGCGAGCGUUAUCCGGAUUUACUGGGUUUAAAGGGUGCGUAGGUGGGCUUAUAAGUCAGUGGUGAAAUCUCCGAGCUUAACUUGGAAACUGCCGUUGAUACUAUAGGUCUUGAAUUAUCUGGAGGUAAGCGGAAUAUGUCAUGUAGCGGUGAAAUGCGUAGAUAUGACAUAGAACACCAAUUACGAAGGCAGCUUACUACAUAUAAAUUGACGCUGAGGCACGAAAGCGUGGGGAUCAAACA
rnacentral:rRNA from 1 species